GACGAACGCUGGCGGCGCGCUUAACACAUGCAAGUCGAACGGAAAGGCCUGCUUUCCCUUGUGGAUUGCGGGUACUCGAGUGGCGAACGGGUGAGUAACACGUGAGUGAUCUGCCCCCAACUUGGGUAUAAGCCUGGGAAACUGGGUCUAAUUCCCGAUAGGACUGCAGGGUGGUGCCUGUGGUGGAAAACGAUUCUCUAGUGGUUGGGGAUGAGCUCGCGGCCUAUCAGCUUGUUGGUGGGGUAAUGGCCUACCAAGGCGGCGACGGGUAGCCGGCCUGAGAGGGUGGACGGCCACAUUGGGACUGAGAUACGGCCCAGACUCCUACGGGAGGCAGCAGUGGGGAAUAUUGCACAAUGGGCGGAAGCCUGAUGCAGCGACGCCGCGUGGGGGAUGACGGCCUUCGGGUUGUAAACUCCUUUCGACCGCGAGGAAGCCACCUGGUUGGAAGGGUGGUGACGGUAGUGGUAGAAGAAGCACCGGCUAACUACGUG
rnacentral:rRNA from 1 species